AUCAGACUCUUCUGGAGCAGGCACUUUUUUGCAAUGUGAAGCGUGUAUCCAAGAACUCUUCCCAGCUAGUUUAACUGACGUUGCUGUAAUCAGGAGUACUUGGUAAGGACCAUCAAAUCUCGGUUCCAGGGUGUGUUUUCUGAGAAACUUCUUAACCAUAACCCAGUCACCUGGAAGCAGCUUGUGUGUACCUGUGUUCGACUCAGGAUCUGGAAUAGAAGAAAACACUUGUGCAUGUAUCUUGGUCAAGGC